rnacentral:lncRNA from 1 species
UGAAAUAUUAAUCUUCAGCACUGAGUCUUGCUAAAAGAACAAUGGUUAGUGGUUCAAGUGACAGUCACAUACUCUAUUGUCGAUCAUAAUUGUCGAGGCUUAAUGGUGAUAGUCAGAUACCUCAUCACAAUGAAAGAAAAGAAAAUCCUGCAGUCAUAUUGUUCUUGUUAAUUCAUCACAACCGUUGCUGGUUAUUUUACUGGUAUUUUCAAUCCGUGACUCAUCGUAGACUUUUUU